GUUACAGUCAUACAGUCAAAAAUUGAAAAAUCACAAGCCAAACCAUUGUAAGUAGGGAACCAUCUGUAUUGGACAUUUGUUGUAGGAAAAAUAUGUUGUAGUUAGCCUGGUGUAAAUGGAUUCUUUGAUCUGAAACUUGUCCAGAAAUGCUUUGUGGGUGUGAUUAGGUCAGGGAGGUCAAAACAUCUUCACAUUACUACUUAGAAAGGAAAAUGAACAUGAUUUGUAUGGCAUAUGUUGAUUGACCAUUUUGACCCCAAAAUAGAGUACAUACUGAGGAACACAGAAAAAAGGCAAUUUAUGUAGUUAGAGAAGGAAUUUGGAUAGAAAGCUAGGGAAUGUAUAUUUCAAGUUAGAGAUGACAUUAUGAAAGCAAACACUAAGGAGACAAAUCUGGAAAUAUUGGACACUCCUAGGAUUGCAGUCUAUGGGCAGAAUCCAGAAUACCAAUGGUAGUAAACCAGAUAUUCAUUCAUUUGCCAAAACUCAGGGCUAGGUUGUUGAUCCUGGAAAUGGAGUAGA
rnacentral:lncRNA from 1 species